rnacentral:rRNA from 1 species
GUUGAACGCUGGCUGCAGGCCUAACACAUGCAAGUCGAGCGGCUGAGGGUAGCUUGCUCGUUGAUUCUGCGGCGGACGGGUGAGCAGGUCCUAAGAAUCUGCCUAGUAUGCGGGUAUAACGGCCGGAGACGGGCGCUAAUACCGCAUACGUCCUAUGGUCUCAAGUUUGUGCUCGUCGGACUGCGUGCGACCUGCGGGCCCUAGGUCGUGGUAGCUAGUUGGUGGGGUAAGUUCCUGCCAAGGCGGCGAUCCGUAACUGGUGUGUGAGGAUGAUCAGUCACACUGGAAGUGAGACAGGGUCCAGACUAAUACGGGCGGCAGGAGUGGGGAAUAUUGGACGGUGGGCGAAAGAGUGAUCCAGCCAUGCAGGUUGUGUGAAGAAGGUAUUCGGAUUGUAAAGUACUCUGAGUUGGGAGGAAGGGAAGUAAGUUAAUAUCUUGCUGUUUUGACGUUACCAGAAGAAUAAGCACCGGCUAACUUCGUG